AGAAUGAACGCUGGCGGCAUGCCUAACACAUGCAAGUCGAACGAAGCCUUCGGGUUUAGUGGCGCACGGGUGCGUAACGCGUGGGAAUCUACCCCUUGGUUCGGAAUAACAGUUGGAAACGACUGCUAAUACCGGAUGAUGACGUAAGUCCAAAGAUUUAUCGCCGAGGGAUGAGCCCGCGUAGGAUUAGGUAGUUGGUGUGGUAAAGGCGCACCAAGCCGACGAUCCUUAGCUGGUCUGAGAGGAUGAUCAGCCACACUGGGACUGAAACACGGCCCAGACUCCUACGGGAGGCAGCAGUGGGGAAUAUUGGACAAUGGGCGAAAGCCUGAUCCAGCAAUGCCGCGUGAGUGAUGAAGGCCUUAGGGUUGUAAAGCUCUUUUACCCGGGAUGAUAAUGACAGUACCGGGAGAAUAAGCUCCGGCUAACUCCGUGCCAGCAGCCGC
rnacentral:rRNA from 1 species